rnacentral:rRNA from 1 species
AACGAACGCUGGCGGCAUGCCUAACACAUGCAAGUCGAACGAUGCCUUCGGGCAUAGUGGCGCACGGGUGCGUAACGCGUGGGAAUCUGCCUUUCGGUUCGGAAUAACUCAGGGAAACUUGAGCUAAUACCGGAUAACGUCGCAAGACCAAAGAUUUAUCUCCGAAAGAUGAGCCCGCGUAGGAUUAGCUAGUUGGUGAGGUAAAGGCUCACCAAGGCGACGAUCCUUAGCUGGUCUGAGAGGAUGAUCAGCCACACUGGGACUGAGACACGGCCCAGACUCCUACGGGAGGCAGCAGUGGGGAAUAUUGGACAAUGGGCGAAAGCCUGAUCCAGCAAUGCCGCGUGAGUGAUGAAGGCCUUAGGGUUGUAAAGCUCUUUUACCCGGGAAGAUAAUGACGGUACCGGGAGAAUAAGCCCCGGCUAACUCCGUG